CAGACGAUUUACUAGGGCUAUAUUCGUAAAAAUGGCUUCUGUUUUUUUGUUUGGUCACAAGGGGCUGAGCUGUAAUUUCACUAGGCUUUUAGGUUAGUUUUGCAUUUGAUUCAAGUUUGGGUAUAUGUUUGGAAUUAAAAUCAAGUUGUGGGUUAGUUUUGGCAAAAACCCCAAUAAUCAAUACUAAUAUCGUGAAGUCGGGUUAGCUUUAAUAGAACCAAUGAAUUUCUUCAUUUUUGUGAAGGUAACAUGAAUAUUCAGAAAAAAUAUUUUUAAAUAUGAAAAUAUUAUCAAACUAUAAACGGUUGAAAGUUUAGUAUAUGAUAUGAGAUUUUAGUGGGAAAGUUUAUAUAUGAUAUGAUUAUUUUAUUAUAAACAAAAGAGGAAGUUAGAAUGUACACAUAUAUGUCUUGCAAUUUAUUUUGCUUUAAAUAAUAUAUUAUAUAAUAAAAGUAAUAAUAUAAAACAUUAGUUUCAAUGCUUUUACGAUUAAAAAUCAAAAUGGUAAAUAUAGUAAUAUUAAUGGUUAGGAUUAUGAUUUAAAUAAAUAAAGGAAUUAAAUAAAUUAUUGUUAGAGAAAUAUAUGGUAAUAUAUUGUUAGUGUAAGUUUAAGGAAUUAAACGCUCAGGUGCUCCUGCCCGAAAAAAAAAUGAUCUGAGAUACUCCUGCCCGAAACUGACCGGAUUUUGAAUUUAAUAUAUCUUUAAUUAAAUCAGAAAAUUUAUUAAAAGACCACAGAGCCAACAGAAACUUACAUAAUUACAACCCAACCAGGGCCAUUUCGCGGACCAUCCAGACCCGAUCCAUAAAUUCGGAUCUAUUUCGCCUUAACUUUCGAAACCUUUAUAUGACUUAGUGUAAUUGUAAACUUUGGUAUAACUGUGUAGCGUAAUAAAACCUGAACAAAUAAAUACUGUCCCAGUUACAAAGUUAUGCUAAAUUGAACUAAAUCGCACAUUGAGUACUCCACAUUUAGAUUGCAAUUUAUUAUUACGUUAUUGUUCGGCCACAUGUGUUGUUAUUGAUAUAUUUAGUGAAGUUCAAAUAAAAAGAUUAGUUUAUAGAUAUAACUAGAGUAAUUACAUAAUGUUUAUAGAUAGAACUAGAGAAAUAACAGAGCAUAACAGCUCAUCAACUUAACAACUUAGAAAAACUAGAUAAAACUUCUACUAAUCUUCAAUUGGCCAUGUGCGAGCAGUCAAGUGUAUUUGGUAGCAGAAGUCAUACGCUGCACAAUUCCAGAAACAACGAUCGCAUUUCCACCGUGAUCGUGAUCCAUCUAGGGAGACUUCAAACUCUGGAGGGUCUAUGUGGGAACACCAGCAAUCACGUGGCACAUUAGGAUCUAUUCUUUUAGCCAUAGAUAGAAACAUGCCAGGUUUAUCGUAAUCCCAAUGGCCUGAGAGUUGCCAACUACAGAUGAUUUGAAACAUCUUAUCAACAUGUUGACGAGUAAAGGCAGGGUAGUUGUGAACAAUUCCCCUCUGAUCAACGCUAAAGGCUAAGUUCAGCAUUCCAUCAACAUACUGGGCCAACUCGCAUCCUCUCUCACCAGCAAGAUGGAUUUUUUCCCAUCCUUCAUCAACUAAAUGGAGGAUGAAGAACUCAUACAUACCUCUCAAGUAUAUGGCCUCUGGAUUACCCGAACGGUAGCAUUUAAGCCUGAAUGUUCGAACAGCACUGACCUCGUCUACCCAGUCAUUCAGGUAAAUGAGAUUGGCCGAUAUGUAGAAGUGAUCUUCUCUUCCAACUUCGUUGAACCCGGGAAAAGCAAUCCUUGCAAAACCAAAAUCCUUGAUAUUCAUCGUUGCUACUGUAGAGAGAAUCUUAUGAAGCAUUGAAGGAGGGAGAGAAUCCAUGUCUAAAUCUGAUAAAAGAAAAAAUGUUAUUGUGUGAGAGAGAUAAGGGAAAUUGUAGAGAUUCGAAAUUGUAUGUAAUUGUAGAGUGUAAUUGUAGAAGUGAUAAACCAUUUAUAGGUGAUUUGAUGGACUCCUCGAGAAGACAUGACUUCUGUGACACGCCUUUUGAAUAACAGUCGCGUCUGUUGGAAUUGAAACUUUGUAAAACUAUAAUUUAUUAAGAUAUAUCUAACUAUAUUUAAUGAAGUUGAACAGUGGCGUGUCCAUUUAAGGUUGAUUUGAUGAGUAUUAUUACUUGAUUGACUCGAGACUCCCCCGAGAUUAAACCAUUUCUCUCCCCGAGAAAGCAUAACUACUUCAACUUAUCUAACACGCUUUCUGACUGCAACAGUCGCCUCUCCUGAAUUUUAACAUACAUAAAUAUGUAUAAGUAAGUGAAACUCGUGGAGAUCACGUUAUGAAACUAAGCAAAACGUAACAAUUUAGAUUGUAUGAAAAUUUGAAACUAUAAAAAACUUAACGAAAUUUAGAUAUUAUAUCGUUUUAUUUUUUUAAAUAUGGUCAGUUUCCAGGUUGAUUUGAUGAGUAUUAUUACUUGAUUGACUCGAGACUCCCCCGAGAUUAAACCAUUUCUCUCCCCGAGAAAGCAUAACUACUUCAACUUAUCUAACACGCUUUCUGACUGCAACAGUCGCCUCUCCUGAAUUUUAACAUACAUAAAUAUGUAUAAGUAAGUGAAACUAGUGGAGAUCACGGGCUAAAUUUAUGAAACUAAGCAAAACGUAACAAUUUAGAUUGUAUGAAAAUUUGAAACUAUACAAAACAUAACGAAAUUUAGAUAUUAUAUCGUUUUAUUUUUUUAAAUAUGGUCAGUUUCCAAAAUGUAUAAGUUAGUGAAUAUAUUUAGAGUUCAUAUAUUUAAUGAUAGCAACUACCAGUGUAGGAGAUAAUCAAAGAAAAGGAUAAUAUUAAUUUUGAAAAAAAACCUGUAAUUUAAUGAACUAUUAGAAUCUACUACUCCUAUUUUUGCCCGAGGUUGAUAGACUCGUGGAACGAACACGACAUUUGAUAGACUCGUCGAAAGGAAAACAUGUCCCCACGACUUCUCUUGUGAAAAAGUCUCUUUUAAUAAUCAUUACACUUCCGAGUAUCAUUUAUACGCUACAUCUCUUGCAUUUAAGAGAAUUCUGCAUUUAAACACUCACUGUUACUCCAUCUCUUCUCUCAUCUCUUCUCUGCGAAUACUCCAUCUCUUCUCUCAUCUCUCAACAAACACAAGAUGGCAGAGUACGAUAAGCUUUCCGAGGUUACUUAUAACCCGGCGGUCAGGGCUUGGCGUUUCAGAGUGAAACUACACAGGAUCUACCCUUUCUAUUCCUGUGUUACCAACAGUGGGCCUUACUAUAACUAUAUCCUCGCAGAUGAAGAUGUAAGUGUAUAUCAUCAUCUCUCAAUUGUGUAAUAAACAUGUAACCGUCAGAAAUAAAAACUUGAUCCUUGUAACAUGUAAUAAACAUGAUCUUUGUACUUUAUUUUUGUAGGGAUACAAGAUGAAGAUGAACACUUAUGGGAAUUAUAAAAAAUUUAGAGGCCUUGAGAAGGAAGAGGGAAGAUGGGUGGAAAUCUUUGUGGUAGAUGUUGAACGGGGCUACCCAUGUUUCAAGACAACUAGGUCUCCGUUCAGACUAAUUGCUUCGCGCCUUACGCAAGUCCGCAUCAUCGAACCUCUGAACAAUCGUCUUUUCUUUGAUUUCAAAAGCAUCCAUGCAAUCCCUUGCAUGCACUGGCGUGACCUCAAAUAUCCCAUAGGUAAGUGAAACGAACAGAUUUAGGAAUGGUAAUCACAACUGAUUUAGGAAUGGUUUUUGGAAUGGUAAUCACAACUGAUUUAGGAAUGGUAAUCUCAACAGUCGCAUGGCUUGGUUUCAGAACUUUGUAUAACUCUGUAGAUGUAAGUGAAACGAACUGAUUUAGUUGAGUAACACUUAUAUGGUAGAUACAAUGGGAGUGGUCUUCAACACGGAAGCCCAUCUCGAUGCCCCUUCAGGACCAAGGAUGGAGUUUUACAUAAGGGACAACAUGUGAGUAUAAAGUAACAUAUGAUCCAAGCAAAAUUUAUAUAUAUAUAUAUAUAUAUAUAUUGUAACUGACGCACUUUUUCUUUAUUCUGAAUAGUGACCAUCAGAUAAGAUGUGUGGUGACUGGCACUCAGGCAGUUGCCUUCCGGGAUGGUCUUGAUGACAUGAGUGGUGGGGGUCGUAGACAGGUGAUUGUGGUCCUUAAGAUGUGUAGAGUCUGUGAAUCUACGAGUAAGUGUUGUUUCUGUGUCUAGUUUUAAAUGUGAUAGUUGAGUAGAACUUUUGCUAAAAUCAAGACCAUGCAGAUUAUUUUGGUCCUGAUGAUAUAUGGCUUCAGACCGAAGGUGGAUUUGCGGACUUCAGGUUCAAUCCGCGUUUGCCAGAGGUCGAGGAAUUCAGGCAGUCUGUACUAAACAGCGACCCUUAUGUUCAGAAAUAUGGGGUUGAAGGUCUCGUGUAAAUGUUUAAUGUCGGUGAAACUUUGUUUAAAUAUCGGUACAACUAUGUGUUAAUGUUGGUGACACUAUCUCUAUUGUCGGUACAACUUUGUUCACUCUAUUGUUCAAUUUUCCAACUUUAUAGUUUCACUUAGUCAAUUUUCCAACUUUUCGUUUCACUUAAUCUCACCUGUUUCAACUUUUGGUUUCACUUAAUCUCACUUGUUUCAACUUUUGGUUUCACUUAAUCCUUGUUCCAACUUCUGGCUUAACUUAAUCUUCUGUUCGACUUUUUCGUAUAAAUAGGUCAGAUAUUGUGUUAGUUUCACUUUCUCAAUUGUCUAACAUACUAAAAAUAAUAGAAACUUUUUCGAUAGAUCAAACUACAUGGUUGUUCAACUUCGCAUAACUUAGAAAAACAUAGCUUAGCAAUAACAGUUAGUUAUAGGAAUUGGAAUUCUCUUAGGAAUUUCAAUUACUUUUUGUA